GAUGAACGCUGGCGGCGUGCCUAAUACAUGUAAGUCGAGCGAACAGACGAGGAGCUUGCUCCUCUGACGUUAGCGGCGGACGGGUGAGUAACACGUGGAUAACCUACCUAUAAGACUGGGAUAACUUCGGGAAACCGGAGCUAAUACCGGAUAAUAUAUUGAACCGCAUGGUUCAAUAGUGAAAGACGGUUUUGCUGUCACUUAUAGAUGGAUCCGCGCCGCAUUAGCUAGUUGGUAAGGUAACGGCUUACCAAGGCAACGAUGCGUAGCCGACCUGAGAGGGUGAUCGGCCACACUGGAACUGAGACACGGUCCAGACUCCUACGGGAGGCAGCAGUAGGGAAUCUUCCGCAAUGGGCGAAAGCCUGACGGAGCAACGCCGCGUGAGUGAUGAAGGUCUUCGGAUCGUAAAACUCUGUUAUUAGGGAAGAACAAAUGUGUAAGUAACUAUGCACGUCUUGACGGUACCUAAUCAGAAGGCCACGGCUAACUACGUG
rnacentral:rRNA from 1 species